rnacentral:rRNA from 1 species
CGAGGUGGAGCAAAUCCCAAAAAUAACGUCUCAGUUCGGAUUGUAGUCUGCAACUCGACUACAUGAAGCUGGAAUCGCUAGUAAUCGCGAAUCAGAAUGUCGCGGUGAAUACGUUCCCGGGUCUUGUACACACCGCCCGUCACACCAUGGGAGUCAGCAACGCCCGAAGCCGGUGACCCAACCGAAAGGAGGGAGCCGUCGAAGGUGGGGCCGAUAACUGGGGUGAAGUCGUAACAAGGUACC